UAGAAUACCACCUUGAAAACCCCUAGAUCAGGGCGGGGAACCUUUUUUGGGUCAGAGACCACUAACCCUCAGAGAUAUCUUCUCAUACAAAAGUGAGAAGAAAAACAAACAAAAAACGAGACAUGCGCACACAAAAAUUUUAUAAAACGCCUUGAUGUGGGAAGGAUAUCUUGUAUCUGAAACACACGACUCAAAAUCAAGAGACUGAGAAUAAAACUUAGAUUCUACCUCAGAUGUCCUUUGCAAUCUUGACUAAUUGCAAUAUUCAGCUUCUUCCAUCAGGGAAACCAGAAUACCUGCUUCCCUCAUACGAGAUCAAUAUGCCAUCCAUCAUCUGACAGGAACAGGAAAUCAACAGAUCUUCGUCAUGUUUGGGGUUCCUCCUAAGCUGCGCGCCUUCACACAAAAAUUUUAGGCCUGCCCAACUGGCCAACAGGAAGCUCAUUAUGGGAUAAGAAAUCUUCAGGGAAAUUAAAUUCUACAAAAGACUAGAAUGCCUGUAUUCUGACAAUAGAAAGCAAUAAAGAUGACUCAUCCAUAAAGUGAGGAACACUUUUCUUAAGGUUUCUUGAAUAUUAAAUUAAAGUUUGUAACUGUGAUUUUUAUUUGUCAGACAUAUUUGAGUUUUUCCUGUUUAGAAGGAUAUUCUUAGCCUUUUUGUUUUAGUAUUAACAAAACCAAUCCAAAAGCAAGUCAGAAAAAGAUAGAUCAAGGAAAAUAAUAACUGAGGUGAAAAAGAAUUUUGCAUACUGAGAAACCAUGAAAUGACUUUAAAUAUUUAAAGGUUCAUUUACUUUACCUGCAGAGAGGCUACUUAAAAUGUGAAUUGCUUCCCCAAAACAUUGGAAAAAUAAAAUCCAUUAAAAUGAGCGUCUUUUCCAGUCAUUAGCAAUUUGGGAUCCCUGGUUAGAAACUAGAGUAAGGAAGCAAGAAAGAAACAAAAAAGGACCUGUUGCCAUAACAGUGGGAAUGGGGGGGAAGGGAAUCAACGUGCAAUAUGGAACAGGUGAGAGUAGGAAUUGCAUGGUGGGAUUGGCACAGGAUUAAAAAAAAAUAGUCCUCCCAUGCCACACACAA